rnacentral:rRNA from 1 species
GAUGAACGCUGGCGGCGUGCCUAAUACAUGCAAGUCGAGCGAACGGACGAGAAGCUUGCUUCUCUGAUGUUAGCGGCGGACGGGUGAGUAACACGUGGAUAACCUACCUAUAAGACUGGGAUAACUUCGGGAAACCGGAGCUAAUACCGGAUAAUAUUUUGAACCGCAUGGUUCAAAAGUGAAAGACGGUCUUGCUGUCACUUAUAGAUGGAUCCGCGCUGCAUUAGCUAGUUGGUAAGGUAACGGCUUACCAAGGCAACGAUGCAUAGCCGACCUGAGAGGGUGAUCGGCCACACUGGAACUGAGACACGCUCCAGACUCCUACGGGAGGCAGCAGUAGGGAAUCUUCCGCAAUGGGCGAAAGCCUGACGGAGCAACGCCGCGUGAGUGAUGAAGGUCUUCGGAUCGUAAAACUCUGUUAUUAGGGAAGAACAUAUGUGUAAGUAACUGUGCACAUCUUGACGGUACCUAAUCAGAAAGCCACGGCUAACUACGUG